rnacentral:lncRNA from 1 species
GGAAGCCUCUGGGUGAGGAUGAUGUCCUAGAAAUGAGUGGCUGGGGACUUUUUGUUUGGGCAUACAUCUGUUUGAUCUAGAGGUCAGCAGGGCCACAACAGGAAGAUCCAAGUACACACAAGCUUGCAGCCUGCAAGACAGCUUUGCAGAGGGAAAUCUACUGCCAAGUUUUCAGCUUUUCCAGGAGCUAGGCGGCUUUCUUCAGGAAAACUCUUUGAGCCCUCUCAGGAUGAAGAUCACAUCAAAAAUGACAAGGUUGAAAGAGGAGUCAGCUUCAGCAGGACAACCCCUAGUGAGCUAGGGCAGUACAAUUAUAGUCCCUUUCCAAGGUGUCUUCACUGUGUGUGGUGCAGAAUGGUUAACAUUGAACUACUGCAUGACUUGGAAGAAGCUCAAUCAUCUCCCAAAGCCAAACAUUUAUUCUUACAGAGUAGACUCUAUAUGCCUAUUGAAAGUCAGAUUCAAAAAACUACUUUAAAGUUCAUAUGGAACCAAAAAAGAGC